UUUUGUUGAGCUAUAAUUUUUUUAACAUUUGUAACUUACUACAUGGAAUUUCUAUGAAGACAUUAACAACAAAGGAAGCGAAAUAUAACGAAUGAUGGAUGGAGUACAACAUCUCAAAGAUGAGUGACCGUUGGGAAGCAUUUUGAAGUUCGAUGAGUAAACUAUGACCAAUGUAAGUUGGAAGAGUAAUGAAAAUAUAAUCUGGUUGAAUUGUAUUUUUUUUUUUAACGAACGUAACUUGCCACAUGAGAGAUUCAUUAGCCAUGUCAGUGAAUAAGGCAACAGAUUUUUUAAGGUAAUGGAUGUAGUGCAAACGGAUAAAGUUCUGUGAGUACUGUAAAGCUAUCGAAGUUUAGUAAGUGAACUGUGACAAUGAUACAAGUUUGGUGAUUAUUG
rnacentral:lncRNA from 1 species